rnacentral:rRNA from 1 species
AUUGAACGCUGGCGGCAUGCUUUACACAUGCAAGUCGAACGGGGUGGGGGGCAACCUUCAUUCAGUGGCGAACGGGUGAGUAAUGCAUCGGAACGUAUCCCGUAGUGGGGGACAACGCCGCGAAAGCGGCGCUCAUACCGCAUAUGCUCUACGGAGGAAAGUGGGGGACCGCAAGGCCUCACGCUAUGGGAGCGGCCGAUGUCCGAUUAGCUAGUUGGUGGGGUAAUGGCCCACCAAGGCGACGAUCGGUAGCUGGUCUGAGAGGAUGAUCAGCCACACUGGGACUGAGACACGGCCCAGACUCCUACGGGAGGCAGCAGUGGGGAAUUUUGGACAAUGGGGGCAACCCUGAUCCAGCCAUGCCGCGUGCGGGAAGAAGGCCUUCGGGUUGUAAACCGCUUUUAGCCGGGAAGAAAAGGCAUCUCCUAAUACGGGGUGUUCUUGACGGUACCGGCGGAAUAAGCACCGGCUAACUACGUGCCAGCCGCCGCGGUAACAC